rnacentral:rRNA from 1 species
GAUGGCUCACCUUAGCGACGACGGGUAGCCGGCCUGAGAGGGUGACCGGCCACACUGGGACUGAGACACGGCCCAGACUCCUACGGGAGGCAGCAGUGGGGAAUAUUGCACAAUGGGCGCAAGCCUGAUGCAGCGACGCCGCGUGAGGGAUGACGGCCUUCGGGUUGUAAACCUCUUUCAGUAGGGAAGAAGCGAAAGUGACGGUACCUGCAGAAGAAGCGCCGGCUAACUACGUGCCAGCAGCCGCGGUAAUACGUAGGGCGCAAGCGUUAUCCGGAAUUAUUGGGCGUAAAGAGCUCGUACGCGGUUUGUCGCGUCUGCCGUGAAAGUCCGGGGCUCAACUCCGGAUCUGCGGUGGGUACGGGCAGACUAGAGUGAUGUAGGGGAGACUGGAAUUCCUGGUGUAGCGGUGAAAUGCGCAGAUAUCAGGAGGAACACCGAUGGCGAAGGCAGGUCUCUGGGCAUUAACUGACGCUGAGGAGCGAAAGCAUGGGGAGCGAACACGAUUAGAUACCCUGGUAGUCCAUGCCGUAGACGUUGGGCACUAGGUGUGGGGGACAUUCCACGUGUUCCGCGCCGUA